CAAAGUGCUAUUUUCUUGGCUGGAAAAUAUUGACUUUGAGGUUAGGGUCUUCAAAUGUGUUCAGCAUUUGCCAGCCCUUCUGUUGAAGCCUGUGGCAAUAAUCCUAUUGAUCGCAGUGGGAGUGGAAUUCAUGGGAAGAGAAAAUAAAGGGAAGGCUUGGAAAUCCUGCUCUGAGCGUUUUAUGACUCAGAUGUCAGAGGAAAUGUGAUGUAAUGCAGUGUCAAAGGCGCCCUGAAACCUUUCAUGAACAAUUUUUUAAAUACAAAUUGACCUUUUAAAUAGAUUAACGUUUAUUGAAGCAAAAGAUCUAUUAUUGUGAAGAUAUGGGGGGUUGAAUCGCUCCUCGCAAGGUGCUGGAACAAACCCCAGAAUGUUGAAUUUACUUGCUGGGGGGCAAAACUUCACCCAAGUGGAUGUACUUUGGAAUAUGGAAUGGGGUUCUUAGCUUUGCUACCAUCUCCCCUGGAGUGUGGUGGCCCAGCGCUCACCUCUUUGUAUUGGAACACUUGCAUCAGGAAGACGUGUUUAUGGAGGGGACAUCACCAAGGCAAAUGUCCAUUCGUCUUACUGCGAGAUCGCACUUUAACUGUGGAGCUGAAAGAUGUUCUUCUUGUGGGGAAAAAAGGAGAUUUUCCUGCUCUCUGCACAAAGAAGAGUCCAUGAAAACCUUCUGUAGUUCUUCAUCCCUCUGGGUUCGUGGGCCUCCUUCAGUGCUUCCUCCACAACCUCUGCAAGAUGGCUAGCUGGGUGGAAUAAUGAAAGCUGAAAGAUCCCUGCUGUUCUUUGAGUCAGCACGAAUACAGAAAGUUUAAUUCUCGUCCAAAAUUUGCUCUGUAUUUUUUUUUUUUUGAACUCUAUAGUAAAAUUUUCUGUGGAAGUCUUCAAAGAUUUUAUUUUUCCCUGCUUGAUCUGUGAAAGCAACAACAAAAAGAAGCUACUUAGAAAUUCAAAUGCUCGGAUUUGUGGCUGCAAUUAAUGCUGUGACAGAUGGCUGCGGCUGGGAUGGAGCCGUUCCUUUCCCUGCUCAGAAGAGGGCAAUCAGCAAAACCUCAGGGCAGCUCCAAGGGACAUGAGAGUCUUGCUUUACACACGCACAGAGCAGCCCUGGAAGGAGUGAAAUGAAGAACUGUCAAGGAAAGUUGGAGGAGUUGUGCUGUCCCAAGCGUGCAGGCACGGUGCUUGUAAAACCACAGGGUGUGAGCGUGGUAUUAGCAAGCCUUUGUGUCAUCUCCAGGGGAGAGCUGAGUCCCAUUGAAGGCAGAGGACAGACGUCAUUCAGAGUUCGCUUCCUCUGCAUCAGAGAUGGCAAAAAGUAAUAUAAACACAGGAGAAGGAGAAGAAAGAAGAAAUAGAGACGUUGGAAGCAAUGUGCAGUACGGAUUUCCUGACGGGAUAUUUCAGGAGCCCUGUCACUGAGCCCUAGGGCCUGCAGCAGGAUGGAGGGCUGAGGAUGGAUUUGUUUAAAAGGCAGAAGCCCUGCAGCCAAGACACCCAAACCCUGCUCAUUGCCUUGGCCUUGCUGCAGCAGGUAGCCAAGCAGCUGGCUGUGUGAGUGUGCGGCGCGUGGCUCAGCACAACCUGUGCUCCAGAGGACGUCCAGGAGAGAUUAGCAGUGAUGGAAUAAGCCAGAUAGAUGGCAGAAUUCGAAGCAUAUUUGGUUUGAACCUCUGAGAUGCGGAGCUGUGCUGUGGAAUGCCAAAGCAAAGCUGUCCCAGAAUUGACCUGAAACAACAUCUUCUAAGUUCUGCUGUAGUUCUGCAAGGUCAGUCCACAGGUUUUCAUUUGCUCCACGGCCUGUGUUUGGUUUAGUUGGGUUUUUUCCCCUCUAAAAAGCAAACUGUGAAAUGAAUAUUGAGCCUCAUGGGUUCUGAAAUACUUCACUGUUUCCUAUUUUGCAGUCAUGAGGACCCUUUUUGCCCCAUGAAAGUGGGGUCUGUUAUCUGGUCCAAACAAAGCAGUUCUGCAUUAUUCUGACGGCCAAAACAUAAUCAUGAAGUGAGCUGAAAUCAGAUUUUCUUCAGUGGAUUACCAAGAGGCAAAUUUAAAAUGAUAUUACAAAUAAUACCUCAUAAUUGCAAUGUGAAUGAUGAGCCCCCUUAAUCAUGCCUCCAGCUAUGUUUGUUAAUAAGAAAACAAUGUAGAGCAGUGUUGUGACAUUUUUCUCAUUAUUUUUAAUGUAGCCCUCAGUUUUCAGGCCACAUUUUCAGCUGGAGCAAAUAGCCUUCAUCGCCUCCAAUACAAAUAGGCUGCUUUGCACCAGCCAAGUCUCUGACCUGGUUUUGCUUUAAAAAAAACUCUUCACCCCCAAAAGUAGGGAAGGAGAGCAGACCUUCAGAAUGCGGAAUUCUGGUUCAUUUCAAUUAAAACUCCGUGCAUUAAUCAUGUAUUUGACACGCUGGACGUUCCUAAUUAACAUCCAGCUUUAAACCACAUGUGCUUCAGCCUGUGUUCAAAUGAUGGAGCUGCACAGGUAACGUCAGGAAAACCGUGAGCAGAUGGCAGAGCACAGCUGAGUGGAAAUUUGGGUGAGGUGUUUGUCCAUGCUAAGCAAAGCUGAGGCCUGAGAAGCAGUAGUGGCAUGGGGCAGGGCUGUGGCCAGCACAGUGGGGAUGUGAGCGUGUCCCACCAGUUGGGUGCCAGCACCAGGGUCCUGGGCUGGAGGAAGGAUCAUAGAAUCAUAGAAUGGCCUGGGUUGAAAAGGACCACAAUGCUCAUCCAGUUCC
ensembl:lncRNA